rnacentral:rRNA from 2 species
UUAAGCGACUAAGCGUACACGGUGGAUGCCCUGGCAGUCAGAGGCGAUGAAGGACGUGCUAAUCUGCGAUAAGCGUCGGUAAGGUGAUAUGAACCGUUAUAACCGGCGAUUUCCGAAUGGGGAAACCCAGUGUGAUUCGUCACACUAUCAUUAACUGAAUCCAUAGGUUAAUGAGGCGAACCGGGGGAACUGAAACAUCUAAGUACCCCGAGGAAAAGAAAUCAACCGAGAUUCCCCCAGUAGCGGCGAGCGAACGGGGAGCAGCCCAGAGCCUGAAUCAGUGUGUGUGUUAGUGGAAGCGUCUGGAAAGGCGUGCGAUACAGGGUGACAGCCCCGUACACAAAAAUGCACAUACUGUGAGCUCGAUGAGUAGGGCGGGACACGUGGUAUCCUGUCUGAAUAUGGGGGGACCAUCCUCCAAGGCUAAAUACUCCUGACUGACCGAUAGUGAACCAGUACCGUGAGGGAAAGGCGAAAAGAACCCCAGCGAGGGGAGUGAAAAAGAACCUGAAACCGUGUACGUACAAGCAGUGGGAGCACGCUUAGGCGUGUGACUGCGUACCUUUUGUAUAAUGGGUCAGCGACUUAUAUUCUGUAGCAAGGUUAACCGAAUAGGGGAGCCGAAGGGAAACCGAGUCUUAACUGGGCGUUAAGUUGCAGGGUAUAGACCCGAAACCCGGUGAUCUAGCCAUGGGCAGGUUGAAGGUUGGGUAACACUAACUGGAGGACCGAACCGACUAAUGUUGAAAAAUUAGCGGAUGACUUGUGGCUGGGGGUGAAAGGCCAAUCAAACCGGGAGAUAGCUGGUUCUCCCCGAAAGCUAUUUAGGUAGCGCCUCGUGAAUUCAUCUCCGGGGGUAGAGCACUGUUUCGGCAAGGGGGUCAUCCCGACUUACCAACCCGAUGCAAACUGCGAAUACCGGAGAAUGUUAUCACGGGAGACACACGGCGGGUGCUAACGUCCGUCGUGAAGAGGGAAACAACCCAGACCGCCAGCUAAGGUCCCAAAGUCAUGGUUAAGUGGGAAACGAUGUGGGAAGGCCCAGACAGCCAGGAUGUUGGCUUAGAAGCAGCCAUCAUUUAAAGAAAGCGUAAUAGCUCACUGGUCGAGUCGGCCUGCGCGGAAGAUGUAACGGGGCUAAACCAUGCACCGAAGCUGCGGCAGCGACGCUUAUGCGUUGUUGGGUAGGGGAGCGUUCUGUAAGCCUGUGAAGGUGUGCUGUGAGGUAUGCUGGAGGUAUCAGAAGUGCGAAUGCUGACAUAAGUAACGAUAAAGCGGGUGAAAAGCCCGCUCGCCGGAAGACCAAGGGUUCCUGUCCAACGUUAAUCGGGGCAGGGUGAGUCGACCCCUAAGGCGAGGCCGAAAGGCGUAGUCGAUGGGAAACAGGUUAAUAUUCCUGUACUUGGUGUUACUGCGAAGGGGGGACGGAGAAGGCUAUGUUGGCCGGGCGACGGUUGUCCCGGUUUAAGCGUGUAGGCUGGUUUUCCAGGCAAAUCCGGAAAAUCAAGGCCGAGGCGUGAUGACGAGGCACUACGGUGCUGAAGCAACAAAUGCCCUGCUUCCAGGAAAAGCCUCUAAGCAUCAGGUAACAUCAAAUCGUACCCCAAACCGACACAGGUGGUCAGGUAGAGAAUACCAAGGCGCUUGAGAGAACUCGGGUGAAGGAACUAGGCAAAAUGGUGCCGUAACUUCGGGAGAAGGCACGCUGAUACGUAGGUGAAGCGACUUGCUCGUGGAGCUGAAAUCAGUCGAAGAUACCAGCUGGCUGCAACUGUUUAUUAAAAACACAGCACUGUGCAAACACGAAAGUGGACGUAUACGGUGUGACGCCUGCCCGGUGCCGGAAGGUUAAUUGAUGGGGUUAGCGCAAGCGAAGCUCUUGAUCGAAGCCCCGGUAAACGGCGGCCGUAACUAUAACGGUCCUAAGGUAGCGAAAUUCCUUGUCGGGUAAGUUCCGACCUGCACGAAUGGCGUAAUGAUGGCCAGGCUGUCUCCACCCGAGACUCAGUGAAAUUGAACUCGCUGUGAAGAUGCAGUGUACCCGCGGCAAGACGGAAAGACCCCGUGAACCUUUACUAUAGCUUGACACUGAACAUUGAGCCUUGAUGUGUAGGAUAGGUGGGAGGCUUUGAAGUGUGGACGCCAGUCUGCAUGGAGCCGACCUUGAAAUACCACCCUUUAAUGUUUGAUGUUCUAACGUGGACCCGUGAUCCGGGUUGCGGACAGUGUCUGGUGGGUAGUUUGACUGGGGCGGUCUCCUCCUAAAGAGUAACGGAGGAGCACGAAGGUUGGCUAAUCCUGGUCGGACAUCAGGAGGUUAGUGCAAUGGCAUAAGCCAGCUUGACUGCGAGCGUGACGGCGCGAGCAGGUGCGAAAGCAGGUCAUAGUGAUCCGGUGGUUCUGAAUGGAAGGGCCAUCGCUCAACGGAUAAAAGGUACUCCGGGGAUAACAGGCUGAUACCGCCCAAGAGUUCAUAUCGACGGCGGUGUUUGGCACCUCGAUGUCGGCUCAUCACAUCCUGGGGCUGAAGUAGGUCCCAAGGGUAUGGCUGUUCGCCAUUUAAAGUGGUACGCGAGCUGGGUUUAGAACGUCGUGAGACAGUUCGGUCCCUAUCUGCCGUGGGCGCUGGAGAACUGAGGGGGGCUGCUCCUAGUACGAGAGGACCGGAGUGGACGCAUCACUGGUGUUCGGGUUGUCAUGCCAAUGGCACUGCCCGGUAGCUAAAUGCGGAAGAGAUAAGUGCUGAAAGCAUCUAAGCACGAAACUUGCCCCGAGAUGAGUUCUCCCUGACCCUUUAAGGGUCCUGAAGGAACGUUGAAGACGACGACGUUGAUAGGCCGGGUGUGUAAGCGCAGCGAUGCGUUGAGCUAACCGGUACUAAUGAACCGUGAGGCUUAACCUU